UCACCCCUCAAGCCCCGCGCUUGGUGUUGGACGGCCGGUCACGCCAUGGCGUUGACCCCUCCUAAAGAUAACGACGGCGGCCUGUGGUUCCCCCGGUACACUGAGUGUCUCGACACACGUAUCGGACAAGGGCGCCCGGGUCCCGGUCCUCUCCCCUCACCGGGAAAUUUAUAAUACAA
rnacentral:misc_RNA from 1 species